rnacentral:lncRNA from 1 species
AGGGGUUGGGUGAGAGAGCUCAGUGUGUGCUCAGCCCAACCACUUUCUCCUAAGUUUGCAGGUCAAUAGGUGAGAUGAAAAGCAGGAGACCCAACCACUUCGGUUCAGCUCUUACCAGAGAGACACAGUGAAGGGUGACCCCUGCUCUCCACGUGGGCUUGCAUUCCACUGCCUUUAGCAGUUAGAGCUGGUGCAGAGGAGGAGGAUGAUGGGCAAUCGAGUUAUGCUCUGAAACCAGGAGAGAUCAUUCCAGCAGAGAGAAGUGCUGAUAGGAGUCAUCUGGAAAUAAGCUGCAGGUCUGGAUGCACAUAGAGUUGGAACCAUCGGAGGCCUUCGGGAGCUGCAAUGACAAUGUCUUCAAGGCUACAGCUGGCAAAUGUGCUGGUGAUGUAGCAGAUACCAGCCGCUUGGGCAGCUGUAAAGCAAAGGACAUGACUCAGGCUGGAGGGCAGAGGCCUCUGGACUGGGCUGAAAACCUUGGGAGUCUGUGUAGCCUCUGGCCAUCUUGCCCCAUGAAUGCAGAUAAAGCUUAAUUUCAUUCUGCUUCCUUGUAAGAAAGGGAUGGAAGGCAAUUUGAUCAGGCUGAGAGACCUAAACCUUUUUGGGUUCUCCUCUGUAUAACCUGUCUUACAAACCCUCUACUCGAUAACAAAAUAUUUCCAGCUAAAGAUGCCAUGCAAUCUCCAGAAUCAUGUUGGUUGUGUUAUAGCCUUCAGACAGGCAACUGGGCCUCUUAUGAACUCCUUAAUGAAGCAGAAGAGAAUUAGAGAGGGCAGAGGAUGAGGGAAUGUAGUUCCAGUGGAGAAUCCUGAACUUCAUGGUGGAAAAAGCAUAGCAUAUGAAAUUAGAAGAAUGCUAGUUCUACCCCUUCUUUGCUGUGUGGCAUUGAGUCUCUCAUUUUCUUUAUCUGUAAAAUAGGGAAAAUAAUAAUACAUGUCUUUAGGAUUGUUGGGAGACUGAAUAAGAUACUAGCUAUGGCAGCAUUCUUUACAUUGCAAAGUGGUGUACUGCAUAGAUACCAGUGCUAAUGAAGUUGAUGGUGAUGACGUUCAUAUGGCUGCUGCUGACUGGCAGAUUUCCCAUUUCCUACUUUAUUCAUUUCAAUGAAAUCUCCAACAGGUUAAUGUCACUGUCCCACUAUAACUCAUGGGCAGAGAAUUUGGGCUAAUCAAAAAUUAACAUUUUCAAUUUUUCAUGUCAACAGGAGAUACCCCAUUCUUUCAUCCUACCCCCAAACAACACAUUCAACCAUGAUGACUUAGUAAACUAGUCACAUUCAUAUAGGAUAUUAAUAUCUCAACCUAGCUAGACCUGGUCCCUAGACCCCAUCAAGAUGGAUGUCACAUUCAGCUCUAGAAUCCUUGAAUCCAUAGCUUCCUUCAUCAUGGAGUCAAAGGAAAAGACCUCAGGGAAGCGCUGAGAAAUUCACAAAAACAGAUGUGACUUAGAGUGAAGAUUACGAAAGAGUCCCAAGAGCAUUUUCAGCC